rnacentral:lncRNA from 1 species
UAUACGAUAUAGACCCCAUGUGAUGGCACAAUUCAAAACCUUUCAUUAUUUAAAUUAAUAAAUAAUUUUUUAAAUAAAAUUUAAAAAAUAUAAUAAAAAAAUAUAAUAAAUAAUUAAAAUAUUUUGUUGUUAAAGAAAAUAAAUAUUUCAUAAUACUAUUAUUGUCGGUAUAUAAGAAUUUAUUUGACCGGCACGGCUCGACACGCAUCGUGUCGUAUUAUACUGGUAAAUUUUCGAUACGAUUUCAUGCCACGGCACUUAAAUUCUUGCUACAACCUACAAAUAAUAUUUGUUCCUUUUUAAUUUUAAAUAAAUUA